rnacentral:ribozyme from 1 species
GUCUACACAGUUUGUGAAAAUAGUGUAGACGUUCCUCAGAAAAUGACAAACCUGUGGGGCGUAAGUAAAUGCAUAUCGUAUAUUAUUCCCUUGAAUACGGCAAUAGCGGGUAAUAUCCGAGAUACUCGUAUUUGUGUUUAUAAUCGUGCAGACGUUAAAAUCAGGU